rnacentral:lncRNA from 1 species
CCAGAUUUUCUAAGUUUGACAGUUUUUCAGUUGGUGUAGAGCUUGUCAAAUCGACAGUUUUUCAGUUCGUGUGGAGCUUGUCAUAGUUUUAUGCAGAUAAAGCUUUAUAAAAAUGCACUAAAAGUGUUCUGUUUUUUGGUAUCUCACAGAUGUGUGUAGCUAUUGUAUGUCUUCUGAAUCAUGAUGCUUGUUGUCCUUUUGUACAUAUCUUUAGUGUGCGUGUCGAAGGCCAGUAAGUUCUACUGCCAGUAUACGCCAAGUUCAGAGAUGUUGCCGCCGAUGGCAUGGAGUGAGCCGCAUCUCGCACCUCCACCAGCUGCAGUUCACGGCCUCCGCCAGCUGAAGGUCCUGAGGAUCAUUUUUCUCUGAUGUCCAUGUAUCGAGAUAUGGUAUCUGAUCAGUUCCACAAAUAUUUGGAGCUAAACAACUUAGCUAGUUCGGUCGUACUGACCCAUUGGCCUGUUUUACUACCUCUCUAAAUAAAGUUGCAAGAAUGACUAACACGUGAAAAUAGGAAUUAAUGUGUAAACCGGUACAUGCUCCUUGUUGAUAAAAUCUAGCCCAUUCAAAGUAGUCAUGAUUGUACUGGCAUGCUAUGUUUCAUCGUUAUCUAACAGUGCAUACAUCGUUAUCUAAGUGCAGUACAUCAUUAUCUUAUAGUGCAGUACGUCGUUAUCUUACAGUGUAGUACAGUAAUUCAUGAUCUAACAUUUUUACAGGAACUGCAUGCUAUAUACAGAAAUUCUAUAGAAACUACUGCAGAUACAUGACUUAUGAGGCU